rnacentral:tRNA from 1 species
UCCGGCGUAUCUCAGUUGGUAGAGAGUCCGACUGUUAAUCGGAAUGUCGCUGGUUCGAUUCCAGCCGCCGGAG